AAGUAGAGAAACUCUGUUUCAGCUGCAGUGAAGUCAAUUUUUUUCUCACUUACGUGGAACUUUAUUGAAUUAAGCAAAUGUAGGAGUUGCUUUUAAGAUGGUGUGUUUAAGAAAGAACUGCAGAUGCUGGAAAAAUCGAAGACACCUUCAGCCAGAAUGGGGCAUAGGGGAGUAGCCAUCUUGGUCACUUAAUCGGACUGCAUGAAAAAGGGGCAGUAGAGAAAAAACUGACAAAGAUGCGGGUGAAUUUUCCAUUAGUUUCCUGGAUCACCAACUACCUGACUGGACGAUCACA